AUGGCCUCUAGUCAUGUACUGCUUCAUAUGCAUGUAAACACUUACAGUAACUUAAUACCAGUUGUGCAUAUGAAUGCUUUAAGUGGUACAGAGAGGGUAGUGGUUGUCUGCCCACCUGUGCGUUGUUAACGUCAGGGGUGUUGACGGGAAGCUUAUCCAGGCUCCCCCUAUGGCUAGUUUAUUUUACUUCUCCACACUGGAGACGGAUGAAACCAUUGAUCAACUUCUAACAUCAAACGAAACCUUCAGGAUGCUGUUCUCAGAAAAUGGCACCAAUGCUUCUGGUAUGGCCGACUACAAUGAUUACGCUGCCCUGUAUGAAAACCACUGCAGCGAUGACUUCCUGGACCAAUCAGAGCUCAAAGUCAGCAACAUCAUCAAGCGCUACAUCUAUCCCAUCAUCCUCUUCAUUGGAACUGUGGGUAAUCUGACGUCAAUCCGCUACCUGCAUAACCUGAGUGUGAAUGUCUGGUCAACAUGCUUGUAUCUCACCGUCCUCUCCUUCAUCGACCUUGUCACCCUCUACGUCGACUGCGGCAACAAGUGGUUCGAGAUCGUGUCCGACAUCAACCUAAGCGUAAAGAUCAGUGAGACCUCUGGUGCCGUUUGCAAGGUUUAUCCUUUCAUUUUCCAGUUCUUCCUCCACUUCAGUCCCUGGAUCGUCGUGGCAACAUCAGUGGAGCUAACCAUCGCCUCAAAGUUUCCACAUCUGACCUAUAAGAUGUGCACACGGGAACGAGCCAAGGCUGUGAUGCUGCUUACAACAGUUUUGUUACUUUGUCUCAACAUGCACUACUUCUGGACCUACGGACUCGUGAAGUACGCGGAAACUCCGGACCACAUCGUUACAGUCUGUGUCUACAUUGAAGAGUUCUCAGAAUACUUCCGGGACCAAAUAUGGCCCUUCAUCAACCUUGCAGUCGGACAUAUUGCCCCCCUUGUGGUCGUCACAGCUUGUUUUUUCAUAACCAUAUCCUCAUAUCUAAAAUCAGACAAUGCAUGCAAAGUCAAGCUGGAACAGUACUUCAUGGACUUGAAAUCUCUCCAGCAGUUGAGGGUCACUUUCAUCGUCAUCUGUUUGUUCUAUGUGAUUGUGGUAACGAUGAAGAUCCUGCUGGUUAUCGUCAACUAUCUCAUUGCUCAAAGGAUCGUCCUCAUUCCCUGUGCUCUGGAGUCCCGUGUGUUGGCCGUCAUGAUGUUGCUCGGAUCGCUAUGGGACAUGCUGUUUUACUUGUUCCUCAGCGUAAAGUUCUUCAUAUAUAUGGCCACAUGUACAAGAUUUCGCUAUGAGAUUUAUCAACUUGUGUGUCGCAUUGGGCGUGGGCUUCAUCGAAAAGACAGAGUGACCUUGACCUCAGGAAACCGCUACGAUGCCAAGCCACUGAUGCAGCAUGGUAACAAUGUGAGAAAUAGUGUUUCCUAUUCACAAAGGAAGGGUCUAGCAGAGGAUGCAUGUUCUGGUGUUACAACUGCUGUGUGAGCAGACGCAGAGAUAUGAUGCUUCCUACAGUUUCUCCUUCCAUGGCUCCCCAGCAUUAGCUCCUCCUCCAUCCUGGCAACACACCAGUGGCGAAAUGUAUAUAGUGUUGAAAAUACGGUCAGUAUGGUUGUGUGAAGACUAUACUUUGUGCAUAUAUGUGAGGGAGCGGGAUUUCUAUGUGACUCUGGUCAUCAGUGUGUGGAGAUUCCACUCUAUUGCUCAUCAUUGUGUGGAGAUUCCACUCUAUUGCUCAUCAUUGUGUUGGGGUUUCACUCUACUGGUCAUCAGUGUGUGGAGAUUCCACUCUAUUGCUCAUCAUUGUGUGGAGAUUCCACUCUAUUGCUCAUCAUUGUGUUGGGGUUUCACUCUACUGGUCAUCAGUGUGUGGAGAUUCCACUCUAUUGCUCAUCAUUGUGUUGGGGUUUCACUCUAUUGGUCAUCGGUGUGGAGAUUCCACUCUAUUGCUCAUCAUUGUGUUGGGGUUUCACUCUACUGGUCAUCAGUGUGUGGAGAUUCCACUCUAUUGCUCAUCAUUGUGUUGGGGUUUCACUCUAUUGGUCAUCGGUGUGGAGAUUUCACUCUAUUGGUCAUCGGUGUGGAGAUUUCACUCUAUAGGUCAUCGGUGUGGAGAUUUCACUCUAUUGGUCAUCGGUGUGGAGAUUUCACUCUAUAGGUCAUCGGUGUGGAGAUUUCACUCUAUAGGUCACCGGUGUGGAGAUUUCACCCUAUGUGACUGGGCGGUCAUCACAGUGUGGUGAUUUCACUCUAUUGGUCAUCUGUGUGUGGAGAUUUCAAUCUAUGUGACUGUGUGGUCAUCUCUGUAUGCAGCUUUCACUCUAUGUGACUGGGCAGUCAUCGGUGUGUGGUGAUUUCACUCUAUUGGUCAUCGGGGUGUGGAGAUUUCACUCUAUUGGUAAUCGGUGUGUGGAGAUUUCACUCUAUUGGUCAUCGAUGUGUGGAGAUUUCACUCUAGUGGUCAUCAGUCUGUGGAGAUUUCACUCUAUGUGACUGCGUGGUCAUAGGUGUGUGGAUUUCAAUCUAUGUGACUGCGUGGUCAUAGGUGUGUGGAGAAUUCAAUCUAUGUGACUGGGUGGUCAUCACGGUGUGGGGAUUUCAAUCUAUGUGACUGGGUGGUCAUCACGGUGUGGGGAUUUCAAUCUAUGUGACUGCGUGGUCAUAGGUGUGUGGAGAUUUCACUCUAUUGGUCAUCAGUGUGUGGAGAUUUCACUCUAUGUGACUGUGUGGUCAUAGGUGUGUGAAGAAUUCAAUCUAUGUGACUGGGCGGUCAUUGGUGUGUGGAGAUUUCACCCUAUAUAACCGUGAGAUCUACAUGAAGAUAAUGACACAGCUGUGUGUAUUUUUCACUCCAUAAGCAGAAAUAGUGAAGUUGUGUCCCAAAUUUACCAAAUAAAAUUAAAACGAAGCCGAUGUGAGCAGUUGUGUCCAGAUACAACGUCUCAUGAUUGGAGGAUGCAGUGGAAAUAUUUCCAAAUGGAUGUGUUGUGAGGAUGAUGGCUGUUAAAUAGACAUCUACAUACUCAGGUGGACCUUAAUCAAAAUGUGACAGGACACUUGUCAGCUGAAACUGAUCACCACACAAAAUGGCGGAGCCUAUUACCAACAGAAUCUUUAUAUGAUACUCGGUAACUUCAACAAACCAUACAAUAUAGACAAAGCUUGAAGGCUGGAAAGGUUGGGCUGCAACUUUACCUGAAACAUCUACUGAAUAGUGAUAACAUAUAAGGACACCCCUUAUAAAGUCUGAAUAUUUAUAAGCCAUCAAAACACCUUUAAUAGUACACAAACAAACUCAAGCUUGCGGUCUAGUGUCAAUUUGUAGUGAGUGAGUGAGUGGGUGGGUGGGUGGGUGAGUGAGUGAGUGAGUGAGUGAGUGAGUGAGUGAGUGAGUGAGUGAGUGAGUGAGUGAGUGAGUGAGUGAGUGAGUGAGUGAGCGAGUGAGCGAGUGAGUGAGCGAGAGUUCGGUUUAAUGCAACUUUGAACAUUAUCUUAGUUAUAUCAAGACAAUAUUUUGCCAGCUUGGUGUCGGGUAAAGCCCGAAGUGAGUGAGUGAGUGAGUGAGUGAGUGAGUGAGUGAGCAGGCGAGAGUUCGGUUUAAUGCAACUUUGAACAUUAUCUUAGUUAUAUCAAGCCCGAAGUGAUGCAGGUCUUAAACGUUUACCACUUUGGUGAAACCCACGCGGAAGGGUAUGGUGCCAACAAACGGAAACAUAUUCAGGGUGUACAGGGAUUCGUAACUGUGAUCAUAGGUUUCCAUGUGAUGAAAAGCAAGCACCCUGCAAUAUCAAUAAAUAUCAGUUAAAAGAUGGACAUUCAAGUCACGAUGAGUAAGAAGACUUCAGUAAAGGCGGUUCUGAAAAGUGUCACUCAGAGAGUAGAACAGAACAGCAUGUUGUUGAAACUUUCAUACUUCAAACAGUUACACAAUAAUGAAGACCUGGUGUGUAACAGUUUCAUUAACCAUGAGAUCACAUACAUCUAUCUGUUGAUAACAAGAAUAAAUAGGUCUGUAGCUUAAAAGGGGGGCACGGGUGGCCCAGUCGUCUAAGGCGCCGUGAUUCGCUGUGCAGAGUUGCAUCCCUUGGGCAUGCCAGAAACCUAUGACUGUGGGUUCGAAUCCAGGUUCGCCCCGUUUAUGUUU
rnacentral:misc_RNA from 1 species